rnacentral:rRNA from 1 species
CAAGUCGAACGAUGAACCACUUCGGUGGGGAUUAGUGGCGAACGGGUGAGUAACACGUGGGCAAUCUGCCCUUCACUCUGGGACAAGCCCUGGAAACGGGGUCUAAUACCGGAUACUGACCCUCGCAGGCAUCUGCGAGGUUCGAAAGCUCCGGCGGUGAAGGAUGAGCCCGCGGCCUAUCAGCUUGUUGGUGAGGUAAUGGCUCACCAAGGCGACGACGGGUAGCCGGCCUGAGAGGGCGACCGGCCACACUGGGACUGAGACACGGCCCAGACUCCUACGGGAGGCAGCAGUGGGGAAUAUUGCACAAUGGGCGAAAGCCUGAUGCAGCGACGCCGCGUGAGGGAUGACGGCCUUCGGGUUGUAAACCUCUUUCAGCAGGGAAGAAGCGAAAGUGACGGUACCUGCAGAAGAAGCGCCGGCUAACUACGUGCCAGCAGCCGCGGUAAUACGUAGGGCGCAAGCGUUGUCCGGAAUUAUUGGGCGUAAAGAGCUCGUAGGCGGCUUGUCACGUCGGUUGUGAAAGCCCGGGGCUUAACCCCGGGUCUGCAGUCGAUACGGGCAGGCUAGAGUUCGGUAGGGGAGAUCGGAAUUCCUGGUGUAGCGGUGAAAUGCGCAGAUAUCAGGAGGAACACCGGUGGCGAAGGCGGAUCUCUGGGCCGAUACUGACGCUGAGGAGCGAAAGCGUGGGGAGCGAACAGGAUUA